GGACCGCUGUUCUAGGCCAUGCCGGGGGCAGGAGAAGGCGGGCAGCGCAUGAUUCCAGCUGGAUCUCUGGGAAUGUAGGCCACUCCCAGCUUUAGAGUGAGCUAGUGAGGGAGGCACCCAAAGGAAGAUGGAAACUUGGACCUCAGAAUGCAUUUGCAUCUAUGAAGUCUGUUCCUCUGCUGGUCACACUCCCUGACAAGUAGCAAGAGCCCUCUGUGGAUGGACCCAUUCAAAGCCCCCGUUUUGCACCUGCGGUGGAUCCCUGCAGUUAAGAUUUAGAUGGCCUGGUCUACGAACUCAGUUGAAGAUGUGCUAUCGAUGGCACCCUGAGGACUCUCUGGAAGAGCAGAGUUUUGAGCUUACCAAUUUUGGGAGGCAGCAUAGAGGGCAGUCAUAAUCCCAGCUUCAGAGAGAACUGGAACUCCGUUUACCAGCUGAAUGACUUUGGACAAGUUACUUAGCUGCUCUGAGACUCGGUUUCUCAAUUUAUAAGAGUAGGGGCAGUAAUACCUGUGCCUUGUGAGAGUGUUGUAAGGAUUAGAAGAGAUCAUGUAUAUAAAGAGUUUAGCAUCACUCCUGGCUAACAGAACUAGUUCUAAUAAACAGAAGCUCUUACAGUA